rnacentral:rRNA from 1 species
ACCGGUGACUAUUCCGACAGGGAAACACCCGUUCCCAUUCCGAACACGGCAGUUAAGCCUGUCAGGGCCGAUGGUACUGACGCCCAACUCGGCGUUGGAAGAGUAGGUCGUUGCCGGGC